rnacentral:rRNA from 1 species
UAGGGAAUCUUCGGCAAUGGGGGGAACCCUGACCGAGCAACGCCGCGUGAGUGAAGAAGGUUUUCGGAUCGUAAAGCUCUUUUGUUAAGGAAGAACGAGUGUGAGAAUGGAAAGUUCAUACUGUGACGGUACUUAACCAGAAAGGGACGGCUAACUACGUGCCAGCAGCCGCGGUAAUACGUAGGUCCCGAGCGUUGUCCGGAUUUAUUGGGCGUAAAGCGAGCGCAGGCGGUUAAAUAAGUCUGAAGUUAAAGGCAGUGGCUCAACCAUAGUAGGCUUUGGAAACGGGUUAACUUGAGUGCAGAAGGGGAGAGUGGAAGUCCAUGUGUAGCGGUGAAAUGCGUAGAUAUAUGGAGGAACACCGGUGGCGAAAGCGGCUCUCUGGUCUAUAACUAACGCUGAGGCUCGAAAGCGUGGGGAGCAAACAGG